UACGUAGGGUGCAAGCGUUGUCCGGAAUUAUUGGGCGUAAAGAGCUCGUAGGCGGUCUGUCGCGUCUGGUGUGAAAAUCCAGGGCUUAACCCUGGACCUGCAUCGGGUACGGGCAGACUAGAGUGCGGUAGGGGAGAUCGGAAUUCCUGGUGUAGCGGUGAAAUGCGCAGAUAUCAGGAGGAACACCGGUGGCGAAGGCGGAUCUCUGGGCCGUAACUGACGCUGAGGAGCGAAAGCAUGGGGGAGCGAACAGG
rnacentral:rRNA from 1 species